rnacentral:tRNA from 1 species
CGGUGGCUCAGUUGGUAGAGCGUCGCAUUCGUAAUGCGUAGGUCGUGGGUUCGAGUCCCAUCC